rnacentral:lncRNA from 1 species
GAAGGACCCUCUGGCUGACCCUGGUGUGCCCCUGCCCUAGUGCAGAGAAGGCAGCCCAGUGACCCCAUCCCAGGCUGGGGAAGAAUCCUCAAGCCAGAGCUCAGCGCCGCAUCCAGAGCCUCACGACAGGAGCUUUGCCUCGAGUGGAGUCUUCUGGAGCUGUGAUGAAAACAGGAUUAAAGAAGAAAUCAUUGGCAGUGGAGUGCUACAACAACUGAACUGCUUCUUUUCAGUGGAUACUAAAGGUACCUUUAGCUGCCAUUUUAGCAAAAUGGGCUAAAUUCU